rnacentral:rRNA from 1 species
GACGAACGCUGGCGGCGUGCUUAACACAUGCAAGUCGAACGGAGGGACGAACGGGUGAGUAACACGUGGGUGAUCUGCCUUGCACUUCGGGUUAAGCUUGGGAAACUGAGUCUCACAACGGAUAGUGCAAGAUGAGCUCGCGGCCUAUCAGCUUGUUGGUGUGGGAAUGCCCUACCAAGGCGUCGACGGGUAGCAGGCCUGAGAGGGUGUACGGCCACCAUGGGCCUACGAUAGGGCCCAGAGUCGUAUGGGAGGCAGUAGUGGGGAAGAUUGUACAAUGGGCGGAAGCUUGAGGCAGCGACGUCGGGUGGGGGAUGAACGUCUUCGGGUUGUAAACUCCUUGCGACAGGUACGCGGUACCUUUAGAAGAAGCACCGGCUAACUACGUGCCAGCAGCCGCGGUAAUAC